rnacentral:rRNA from 1 species
UGCAGUCGCACGAGACGCUUCAGCUUGCUGAAGUUAGUAAAGUGGCGCACGGGUGAGUAACGCGUGGGUAAUCUACCCCCCGAAUUGGGGAUAACAUCGCGAAAGCGAUGCUAAUACCGAAUGAUAUCUUGAAAACUCUGUUUUCUGGAUCAAAGAUGGCCUCUACAUGUAAGCUAUUGUUUGGGGAUGAGCCCGCGUACCAUUACCUUGUUGGUAGGGUAAUGGCCUACCAAGGCAACGAUGGUUAGCUGGUCUGAGAGGAUGAUCAGCCACACUGGAACUGACACACGGUCCAGACUCCUACGGGAGGCAGCAGUGAGGAAUUUUGCGCAAUGGGGGAAACCCUGACGCAGCAACGCCGCGUGAGUGAUGAAGGCUUUCGGGUCGUAAAGCUCUGUCAAGUGGGAAGAAACCAUAUGGUGUUAAUAUUGCCAUAUGCUGACGGUACCAUUGAAGGAAGCACCGGCUAACUCCGUG